rnacentral:rRNA from 1 species
GAUGAACGCUGGCGGCGUGCCUAAUACAUGCAAGUCGAGCGAACGGACGAGAAGCUUGCUUUUCUGAUGUUAGCGGCGGACGGGUGAGUAACACGUGGAUAACCUACCUAUCAGACUGGGAUAACUUCGGGAAACCGGAGCUAAUACCGGAUAAUAUUUUGAACCACAUGGUUCAAAAGUGAAAGACGGUCUUGCUGUCACUUAUAGAUGGAUCCGCGCUGCAUUAGCUAGUUGGUAAGGUAACGGCUUACCAAGGCAACGAUGCAUAGCCGACCUGAGAGGCUCAUCCGCUACACUGGAUGUGAGACGCGGUCUAGACUUCUGGGGGAGGCAGCAGGAGGGAAUGUUCCGCAACAGGCGAAAGCCUGAUGGAGCAACGUCGUGUGAGGGAUGUAGGUCUACGGAUCUUAAAACUCUGUGAUUAGGGAAGAACAUAUGUGUAAGUAACUGUGCACAUCUUGACGGUACCUAAUCAGAAAGCCAAGGCUAACUUCGUG